AUUGAACGCUGGCGGCAUGCCUUACACAUGCAAGUCGAACGGCAGCACGGGGCAACCUGGUGGCGAGUGGCGAACGGGUGAGUAAUGCAUCGGAACGUACCUUUCAGUGGGGGAUAACGUAGCGAAAGUUACGCUAAUACCGCAUAUUCUGUGAGCAAGAAAGCAGGGGAUCGCAAGACCUUGCGCUGACUGAGCGGCCGAUGUCAGAUUAGCCAGUUGGUGAGGUAAAGGCUCACCAAGGCGACGAUCUGUAGCGGGUCUGAGAGGAUGAUCCGCCACACUGGAACUGAGACACGGUCCAUACUCCUACGGGAGGCAGCAGUGGGGAAUUUUGGACAAUGGGGGCAACCCUGAUCCAGCCAUGCCGCGUGAGUGAAGAAGGCCUUCGGGUUGUAAAGCUCUUUCGGCCGGGAAGAAAUCGCACGGGCUAAUACCCUGUGUGGAUGACGGUACCGGAAUAAGAAGCACCGGCUAACUACGUGCCAGCCGCCGCCGUAAAAC
rnacentral:rRNA from 1 species